CGCGGGGUGGAGCAGCUUGGUAGCUCAUCGGGCUCAUAACCCGAAGGUCGCAGGUUCAAAUCCUGCCCCCGCAACCA
rnacentral:tRNA from 1 species